rnacentral:rRNA from 1 species
UUAAAUUGAAGAGUUUGAUCAUGGCUCAGAUUGAACGCUGGCGGCAGGCCUAACACAUGCAAGUCGAACGGUAACAGGAAGCAGCUUGCUGCUUUGCUGACGAGUGGCGGACGGGUGAGUAAUGUCUGGGAAACUGCCCGAUGGAGGGGGAUAACUACU